rnacentral:rRNA from 1 species
UACGUAGGGCGCAAGCGUUGUCCGGAUUUAUUGGGCGUAAAGAGCUCGUAGGUCGUUUGUUACGUCGGAUGUGAAAACCUGAGGCUCAACCUCAGGCCUGCAUUCGAUACGGGCAAACUAGAGUUUGGUAGGGGGAGACUGGAAUUCCUGGUGUAGCGGUGGAAUGCGCAGAUAUCAGGAGGAACACCAAUGGCGAAGGCAGGUCUCUGGGCCAAUACUGACACUGAGGAGCGAAAGCGUGGGGAGCGAACAGG